CACACCAUGGGAGUGGACUGCACCAGAAAUGGUUAGCCUAACCUUCGGGAGGGCGAUCACCACGGUGUGGUUCAUGACUGGGGUGAAGUCGUAACAAGGUAGCCCUAGGGGAACCUGGGGCUGGAUCACCUCCUUAUCGACACUGUCUACUGCUCGCGGCAAGUGCUCACAACGAAUUACCUGAUCAAGUUAGUUUAUCGAGUAGUAGUGUCGGGUCUGUAGCUCAGUUGGUUAGAGCGCACCCCUGAUAAGGGUGAGGUCGGCAGUUCAAAUCUGCCCAGACCCACCAAAAGCUUCGUGCUUUUGUCGACACGGUUUUGCCGACUUUGGGGCCAUAGCUCAGCUGGGAGAGCGCCUGCCUUGCACGCAGGAGGUCAGCGGUUCGAUCCCGCUUGGCUCCACCAUGAAAGUCCGGUUCAGCUUCUACUACCUGAUAACGCUGCACAGUCCACAGUGACAAGCAUAUCGCCUUCCUCGUGAAGGUUGUGUGACUUCUCACUGUUCUCUGAACAGCCGCUCUUUAACAAUGUGAAUCAUGCUGACGAUAGAUAUGUGCGCCAAGCGCAUGUCUAUCAAACGAUAUGUCGGAGAGGUCCGACAGAUUCGUAAUCCUUGACAGACCCCUUGGGGUUAUAUGGUCAAGCGAUUAAGCGCAUACGGUGGAUGCCUUGGCAGCCAGAGGCGAUGAAGGACGUGAUAGCCUGCGAUAAGCGUUGGCGAGGUGGCAAAUACCCUGCGACCCAAC
rnacentral:misc_RNA from 2 species